GCGGUAAUACGGAGGGUGCAAGCGUUAAUCGGAAUUACUGGGCGUAAAGCGCACGCAGGCGGUUUGUCAAGUCGGAUGUGAAAUCCCCGGGCUCAACCUGGGAACUGCAUUCGAAACUGGCAAGCUAGAGUCUUGUAGAGGGGGGUAGAAUUCCAGGUGUAGCGGUGAAAUGCGUAGAGAUCUGGAGGAAUACCGGUGGCGAAGGCGGCCCCCUGGACAAAGACUGACGCUCAGGUGCGAAAGCGUGGGGAGCAAACAGGAUUA
rnacentral:rRNA from 1 species